GCACCACAAGAGCGUGGAGUAUGUGGCUUAAUUUGACUCAACGCGGAAAAGCUUAUCUGGUCCGGACGCAGUGAGGAUUGACAGACAGUUAGACAAAAGUGGUUUUUGGUAACAAAUUGAGAGAGGUGAAGUUCUUUCAUGAUCUUGUGAGAGGUGGUGCAUGGCCGUUCUUAGUUCGUGUAGUGAUAUGUCUGCCUAAUCGCGUCACGAUAACCUAUUGGUCGACAACCCAAUUAUCACAACUGCAGCAUAACUCCCCUUGGGUGGGCGAGGCUCUGUGUAGGAUAGACCUCUGAACAGUACGCAACGAACGUGAUCGUAAACCCUUGUUGAGUGGCCAUCCUGUAAGCUGCUGGAUUAGGAACCCAGUGGUAUUAUCUCAGCCACAGAUUUUCUGGUUGUAAUGGGCCAGUUUUGAAACUCGGGGCACAUCUGUGACUUUCUUUCUUAACGCAGAGGAAGGUUAUGGCAAUAACAGGUCUGUGAUG
rnacentral:rRNA from 1 species